AGUCUAUUACCCAGUUAAAAUGGAUGUUUCAAGGGCAACAGGAUACGAUGUGGCUCCUUUAAUGCGGGCCGUUCAAACAUCACCGCCCGAUAUGAAGAGACAAUACUUCUUUCAUUACUACGACCCUGUGGCUCAAUGUGCGGUUCUCACAUUCAAGGACUACACUGGUACCCUGAGAUGUGAGCUGCAUACUUGGAAAGAGAAGGCAUCGUAUAAAUUUUAUGGAAACUGCCAAGACGAAUACGACUACCAGUGUCCAGGGCGCAAAAGUCACAGCGUGUAUUUAUAUGAUUGUCCGAAUGCCGCAUCCUCCU
rnacentral:lncRNA from 1 species